UGCAGUCUGCAACUCGACUGCAUGAAGUCGGAAUCGCUAGUAAUCGCGGAUCAGCAUGCCGCGGUGAAUACGUUCCCGGGCCUUGUACACACCGCCCGUCACACCAUGAGAGUCGGGAACACCCGAAGUCCGUAGCCUAACCGCAAGGGGGGCGCGGCCGAAGGUGGGUUCGAUAAUUGGGGUGAAGUCGUAACAAGGUAUC
rnacentral:rRNA from 1 species